UACGAAGGGUGCAAGCGUUAAUCGGAAUUACUGGGCGUAAAGCGCGCGUAGGUGGUUCAGUAAGUUGGAAGUGAAAUCCCCGGGCUCAACCUGGGAACUGCUUUCAGAACUGCUGAGCUAGAGUACGGUAGAGGGUGGUGGAAUUUCCUGUGUAGCGGUGAAAUGCGUAGAUAUAGGAAGGAACACCAGUGGCGAAGGCGACCACCUGGACUGAUACUGACACUGAGGUGCGAAAGCGUGGGGAGCAAACAGG
rnacentral:rRNA from 1 species